AAUCAGUUUCAAAAGGACCUUGAUAUAUCUGCUUCCCUAGAAAGCUGCUUCUGAGCAAGUCAACUUCUGCAACAGAUAGCAAAAGCGACAACUUUCCUUUUGCAACGUGUAUGAUCUUUGAGCAAUCACUUCAACUCAUUGUGCCGGCUUCCUUAUAAUACAGUCCAGAACACUGAAACCUUUCAGACGACCAAACUGGGUUUCUUACAUGUGAAGCAGAGACAACAGGCAGAGGUGCACACCGUGUUGAUACAACUGGCACACUAAUUUCAGUAAGGCUGACUGUACAACAUGCCAAAGGCUGCAACACAUGUACUAUACCUGCUCGUAAUGGCCGAGGAACACCUC